rnacentral:rRNA from 1 species
CCUACGGGCGGCAGCAGUGAGGAAUAAUGGUCAAUGGACGAGAGUCUGAACCAGCCAAGUAGCGUGAAGGAUGACUGCCCUAUGGGUUGUAAACUUCUUUUAUAUGGGAAGAAAACAGGGUAUGCAUACCCUCUUGUAUGUACCAUAUGAAUAAGGAUCGGCUAACUCCGUGCAAGCAGCCGCGGUAAUACGGAGGAUCCGAGCGUUAUCCGGAUUUAUUGGGUUUACAGGGAGCGUAGGUGGAUUGUUAAGUCCGUUGUGAAAGUUUGAGGCGACACCUUAAAAUUGCAGUUGAAACGGGCAGUCUUGAGUACAGUAGUGGUGGGCGGAAUUCGUGUUGUAGCGGU